rnacentral:rRNA from 1 species
UCCGUAGGUGAACCUGCGGAAGGUCAUUG